GGCAACGUGGCCGAGUGGUUAAGGCGGUGCCCUGCUAAGGCAUUGGGUUCUGCCCGCGUAGGUUCGAAUCCUGCCGUUGUCG
rfam:Eimeria acervulina, Houghton, WGS project CBTS01000000 data, contig: Eah_scaff305_1